rnacentral:rRNA from 1 species
CAAACGGGUGCGGAACACGUACGCAACCUUCCUUUAACUGGAGAAUAGCCCCUCGAAAGAGGGAUUAAUACUCCGUAACGUAUUGAUAAGGCAUCUUAUUAAUAUUAUAGCUCCGGCGGUUAAAGAUGGGCGUGCGCCUGAUUAGAUAGUUGGCGGGGUAACGGCCCACCAAGUCUGCGAUCAGUAACUGGUGUGAGAGCACGACCAGUCACACGGGCACUGAGACACGGGCCCG